CAGGUGACGACGCAAACCUCAUCGUCACUUUCAACAUCAACCAGAAUGACUACACCUUCAUCAAAAACAAGGCAGCUGGGAUUAAGGUAUUUCUCCAUCAUCCGGACGUCCACCCAGACGCUAGCUCUACUGUGGUGAUGGCUGCACCCGGGUUCUCAACAUAUGUUGCCAUACAAACAUUUCAGUAUCUUUACCUGCCCCUCCCGUACAAGGCAUUUGAUGACACUAAUUGUCUGGACACAAACAGUCCCAAUUUUGUGAAUCCCCUGAAGAUCUACUCCCUCUACACCUACGACCAUUGCGUCAUGGAGUGCGUACAGAUGGAGGCAUUUCGACAGUGUGGAUGUC